rnacentral:rRNA from 1 species
CGGGUGAGUAACGCGUGGGUAACCUGCCUUACACAGGGGGAUAGCAGUUGGAAACGACUGGUAAUACCGCAUACCUUACAUUAUUCGCAUGUUUGAUGUAAGAAAGAUUUUAUCGGUGUAAGAUGGACCCGCGUCUGAUUAGCUAGUUGGUGUGGUAACGGCAUACCAAGGCGACGAUCAGUAGCCGGCCUGAGAGGGUGAACGGCCACAUUGGGACUGAGAUACGGCCCAG